GCUCAGUAGGUUAAGCAUCCGACUCCUGGUUUCAGCUCAGGCCACGAACUCAUAGUUUGUGGGUUCAAGUCCCACAUUGGGCU
rnacentral:tRNA from 1 species